GGCGGCGCGGCGGCCCGUACCUGUUUUCUCCUUGAUCUCGCAGAGGACGCUGAACAGGGCGGGUUUCAUCCUGUGGCAGUUCAGGGCGUGUUUCCUGCAAGAGAGCACAGGACAAGCGCAGUAUCUGGUCAGAUUUAUAAUUCAUCUGCUGCCGCUUUGAGACAAGAAAAGAAAGAAAGAGGCAAAGUUGUACUUUGAGGGAUGGCCGGACGGACAGACGGAUGGACGGCGGCGCAAAGGCCGGUAUCCACCGGGCAGUGUCCAGCGGGAACGGGCAGGGACCAGCCACAGCCUCCCGCGACCACACCGACGGCAGAGCCAUCGCAUACUUCUACAUUUAUCAUAGCUAUUUUUUUUUUUUAAGGAAAGAAAUCAUUAAAUAGCAACUUGGCUCUGCCUUGGCUGCUGGUAAUUUCUCUUACGGCCCCAAGAAGUUGCUCUUAAUUGUGAGACUCUGGGUCUCUGCAGAGGAGCAGGAAGGAGAGAAACAAAAACCACACACACACACCAAAAAUAAUAAUUAAAAAAAUAAUAUUAAUAAUUUUUUUAAAAGACAAGGUUUAAUUAGACGAAACCAACUUUGCUUGUGCCUCAUCCAGGCUUUGGUCAGUGAUGGUCAUGAUCUGAUGGAGGAUGUCGCCGAUGUCCUGCUUCCUGCCGUCGCCGUCAGCCCCUUCGUGUCCGUGGGGAGGC